rnacentral:rRNA from 1 species
CGGGAGGCAGCAGUGAGGAAUAUUGGUCAAUGGAGGCAACUCUGAACCAGCCAUCUCGCGUGAAGGAAUACGGCCCUACGGGUCUUAAACUUCUUUUAUAGGGGGAUAAAGUGAGGUAUGUAUGCCUUUUUGUAGGUACCCUAUGAAUAAGCCUCGGCUAACUCCGUGCCAGCAGCCGCGGUAAUACGGAGGAUGCGGGCGUUAUCCGGAUUUAUUGGGUUUAAAGGGCGCGCAGGCGGCACGUCAAGUCAGCGGUGAAAUGUCGGGGCUCAACCCGGGCACUGCCGUUGAAACUGGCGAGCUUGAGUACGGAUGAAGUCGGCGGAAUGUGAUGUGUAGCGGUGGAAUGCUUAGAUAUGUCACAGAACACCGAUUGCGAAGGCAGCUGACUAAUCCGCAACUGACGCUCAGGCACGAAAGCGUGGGGAUCGAACAGGAUUAGAUACCCUGGUA